GCCGACUUAGCUCAGACGGUAGAGCGCCUGUCUUGUAAGCAGGAUGUCGCCGGUUCAAUUCCGGCAGUCGGCU
rnacentral:tRNA from 1 species